UGGGGAAUAUUGCACAAUGGGCGCAAGCCUGAUGCAGCAACGCCGCGUGAGGGAUGACGGCCUUCGGGUUGUAAACCUCUUUUAGUAGGGAAGAAGCGAAAGUGACGGUACCUGCAGAAAAAGCACCGGCUAACUACGUGCCAGCAGCCGCGGUAAUACGUAGGGUGCGAGCGUUGUCCGGAAUUAUUGGGCGUAAAGAGCUCGUAGGCGGUCUGUCGCGUCUGCUGUGAAAAUCCCGAGGCUCAACCUCGGGCCUGCAGUGGGUACGGGCAGACUAGAGUGCGGUAGGGGAGAAUGGAAUUCCUGGUGUAGCGGUGGAAUGCGCAGAUAUCAGGAGGAACACCGAUGGCGAAGGCAGUUCUCUGGGCCGUAACUGACGCUGAGGAGCGAAAGCGUGGGGAGCGAACAGGAUUAGAUACCCUGGUAGUCCACGCCGUAAACGUUGGGCGCUAGAUGUGGGGACCAUUCCACGGUUUCCGUGUCGCAGCUAACGCAUUAAGCGCCCCGCCUGGGGAGU
rnacentral:rRNA from 1 species